GAGGACGUGGCGUAAUGGUAGCGCAUUGGAUUUCGGCUUCCUCCAAAGGCUGCGGGUUCGAGUCCUGUCGUCCUCU
rnacentral:tRNA from 1 species